rnacentral:rRNA from 1 species
UACGGAGGGUGCAAGCGUUAAUCGGAAUUACUGGGCGUAAAGCGUGCGCAGGCGGUUUGUUAAGUCUGUUGUGAAAUCCCCGAGCUCAACUUGGGAAUUGCAAUGGAUACUGGCAGGCUGGAGUAUGGUAGAGGAAGGUGGAAUUCCCGGUGUAGCAGUGAAAUGCGUAGAUAUCGGGAGGAACAUCAGUGGCGAAAGCGGCACCCUGGCAUUAGCCUGACGCUCAGGUGCGAAAGCGUGGGGAGCGAACGGG